UCCUGCCAAGGGCCGACUGAAUAUUCUGCAGUGUGCGCGCAGGCUAAAGGUUAUAAAAAAAGGACACAGAGUUUUCUCAACAUGAGUCACUGCGAACAUAACCAGCGAGUGGCUGAUAACUAACUGACGUAGCCGAUCUUUCAAUAUUUAAACAAGAUUCAAUACGAGCUGUUUCUCAUUCGCCGAUUAAGCGCAGAGCUGUGAACAUACCGUUAUAAAAUAUGGCUAACUUAGUACUGGUUGUCCUCACUUCUCAGUUAAUUUGCGCAGUAUUUUCUCUGCCUCCGAGUGCGCGAGAUUCAACUGUUUCAGUGAGUCCUGUGGUUGAUUUGGGACGUGGAAGUGUAAAGACAUUGUUAUUGAAGUUUUUUGAAGCUGAUGUUAAAGUGGGUGAAAGGGAAGGUUUCAGAAGUAGAAGAUCUGUGAUUACGGAGAAUAGCUGUCCAUCUGGAACGAUUUGGUACGCGAAUCAAUGCAUGACACGUGAAAAAUAUAAUCAGACGACUGGUGAUGAAGAAUGAAUUAAAAAAAUUCUUCUCUUGUAAAGAAAUGGGAUGGCCUCCUCAUUCUCUCAUCAUUUCCUCAUCAGGAUAUCAAAGGCUCGUCUGCAUACAAGUGUGACUCAAAGGUCUUUGACCUUUUGACAUGUGACUCAGUGCUGUGACUUAUUUUAUACCUUUUUAUGUAAAAAACAUAAGUUGUAAGUAUUUAUUGAAUAGUUUAAAAAAAGGUAGGCGUAUUUAUUUGUUGAAUUUAUUGUUUCUGACGUGUUCUAGUCAUUAAGGAAAUCUGCAUUUUAUACCAAGAUUUGUCUUAAAAACUUGUCUAUAAAGACAUGAAUAUAUUAUUACAGGAAGACUUUAAAAUAAGUUAUUUUUUUUU